rnacentral:lncRNA from 1 species
ACGCGGGGUAUGAGUUUCGAUGAAACUCACUAUGGUUUAGCAGACUUGAUGUGGGAGUAGCCCAAAGGAUGAAGUGAUGCCAUCCUAAUGGGUGAAGCGUACUAUCGAGAGGGCUACCAUGGUAAAAGUACCCUUAAAUUCGAUAUCCACAUUCGACUCCUUUUUUUAGGUGUGUCGCUUAUGUGGGUAUGGAUCGCGACAUUCCGCUGUCACGCGGGGUACGAGCUUGGGAGAGCUCGCGAUCUCGUAGAGGGAACUCAUGAGAGGCUUGAUCCAAAAGGCGAGGUGAUGACGUCUUUUGGAAUGC